ensembl:snRNA Gm26207 predicted gene, 26207
GUGCCCCCUUCGGCAGCACAUACACUAAAACUGGAACGAUACAGAGAUUAGCAUGGCCCCUGCUCAGGGAUGAUACACAAGUUUGUGACGCAUUCCAUAUUUUU